rnacentral:rRNA from 1 species
UGCCAGCCGCCGCGGUAACACGGGGGGCGCAAGCGUUAUUCGGAAUUAUUGGGCGUAAAGGGCGCGCAGGCGGUCUUGUCCGUCAGGUGUGAAAGCUCGGGGCUCAACCCCGGAAGUGCACUUGAAACAGCAAGACUUGAAUACGGUAGAGGAGAGAGGAAUUCCUGGUGCAGAGGUGAAAUUCGUUGAUAUCUGGAGGAACACCGGUGGCGAAAGCGGCUCACUGGACCAUCACUGACGCUGAGGUGCGAAAGCCAGGGUAGCAAACGGGAUUAGAUA